GAAUUCCGCUGUCUGUUUCAACAAAAAUGAAGCAACUAGAGAUGGUGGUAUGGUUAUUUAGAAGACGAACAGCACAGUUUCCCUGAUACUCUUUUGCUGGGUUGCUUUGACAGAAGGAUCAAGACCGAGUAGUGACUCUUAUUUCAAUGACAGCAGCAGUGUUAACA